rnacentral:rRNA from 1 species
GAUGAACGCUGGCGGCGUGCCUAAUACAUGCAAGUCGAGCGGACGGGCGCGAAGCUUGCUGCUCUGACGUUAGCGGCGCGCGGGUGAGUCACACGUGGAUAAUCCACCUAUAAUUCUGGGAAAUUCUCGGGAAACCGGCGCAUAUACCGGAUAAUAUCUUGAUCCGCAUGGUUCAAAAGUGAGAGACGGCGUUGCGGUCUCUAAUAGAUGGAUCCGCGCUGCAUUAGCUAGUUGGUAAGGUAACGGCCUACGAAGGCAACGAUGCAUGGGCGACCUGAUAGGGUGAUCGGCCACACUGGAGCUGAGACACGGUCCAGACUCCUACGGGAGGCAGCAGUAGGGAAUCUUCCGCAAUGGGCGAAAGCCUGACGGAGCAACGGCGCGUGAGUGAUGAAAGUCUUCGGAUCGUAAAACUCUGUUAUUAGUGAAGAACAGCUGUGUAAGUAACUGUGGACAUCGUGACGGUACCUAAUCAGGAAGCCACGGCUAACUACGUG